rnacentral:lncRNA from 11 species
CAAUGUUAUCGGGUCAUGUGAGUCAUAAAUGAACAUCAGCCUUAUCAGUUCUCCUCCUGUUUUCCAGCUGCCUUCUUGGGAGACAUCGCCUUGGACGAGGAAGAUCUCAAGAUGUUCAAGGUGGACAGGGUUGUGGACCUGACUCGGCACACCAUUCAGAGAACAGCUAACAAUUCUUCAGGGAACCUUUCCAACAGCACCAGCAUCCGACCUGCAAGGCAGCAGAGGAGACGAUGGAGGCAAGACCGGGGUCGGACCCGGAGUCGUCGGGCGGCCACUUCGCGUCAUGAGCGGGUCUGGCCAGACGGCAUCAUUCCUUAUGUGAUCAGUGGGAAUUUCAGUGGUGAGUUGGCAACUGAAAAACAGGUCCAGGUGCAGUAAAACCAAGGGCACACCUGCCAUUUGACGCCACUCGGACUGCGGUGGCUCAAGGCUGAGGAAUGCUGAGAUUUGUAGUUUGUUGACGUAAUCUUUGGCAGAGAAGGCAAAAGUCCUUGUCAGACUACAACUUCAUAGCCUUGAGCCAUGGCAGGCAAAGUGGAAUCAAACUGUAUUCAUUCUAAUGUAGAUUCACCCUAAGAGUGAAUAUACUGAAGCCUAACCUGACAUUUUGACCCAUCCUUACCCGAUCCUUUUAGUUGUUUAGAUAUUUAGUUAAGGUGCUUUGCUCCUUCUUUUGCACCCACAUCAUCAGUUUCUCUGUUUUAAGAGAUAGUCACUAUGUCUGGGUUGCUGUGAGUUUUCUGGGUUGUAUGGUCAUGUUCAAGAAGCAUUCUCUCCUGACAUUUCGCCCACAUCUAUGGCAGGUUGUUGAGAUCUGUUGGAAACUAGGCAAGUGGAAGGUCCAAUGUGGGAGAAAGAACUCUUAUCUGUUGGAGGCAGUUGUGAAUGUUUCAAUUAAUCACCUUGAUUUGCAAUGAAAAGCCUUACAGCUGGUUGAUUCCUGAAAAUGGAAAUUCCAGACAUGAAACAAUUAGGGCCAGCUAACACAUCCCAACAAAUGAUUCUCCCAGGCAGGAAUCAUCCAGGCU